AAUAGGCUCUCGAAGAUGGGCUGAACGAUAAAAUGUGAUGUGAAGAAAAACGGAAAUGGACUGUGUCAUUACUGGGCAGAAAACGAAAUGUGAAUGGCCAAAAUACAAAGACGUGAAGGCGAAAAAUGCAAUUUAAUGAAAGAUAGCUUCACAUUCUCUUGUCCAGAUCAUUAGCCGGCCGACGAUCUUCUUCAUUUUCAGUUUUCCUGUAGAAAUGGUGGAUCAAUCUCUGAGAAAAACAGCAGUAGAAGAGAAGAGGGCUAAAGUCUAACAGGAGUCCAAAGAACUUCUUGACUAUACUCGGAAGGCAAUUGCACGAUUGACAUACUUGAUAAGCUCAAUUGGAAUACUGGAAGACGAACUUGGCAAUAAUGGAAUCAAAAGAGAGACAAUAUCUACAACAGUAUUUUAAUUACAAGCUUGUAAACAGAACGAGAAUCAUGAACUUCAGUUCCAAUAUAUUUUUCCCAGACAAUGCUCAAUCGCGUGGGCAAUAGCUCAGAUAGUAGUCAUAGUGUGUUAGUGGAAAUGGCUGCGCACAGGAAGGACUUGGAGAAGAAAAUAAAACCAAUCCGGUAUCGUCAUGGCCAUGUUUUAUUUCUCAUUAAAAUAAUGGAGCAUUCUCUUAUUUGACAUCUUUGGCAUUUUCAUUUCUCCGUAACACACUCUUUACUGUUCUUUUGAUUUUAAUGAUUAUCCGAUUAAAAGACAUAGAAUGACUUCUGAAACUUGUUUUUUGUUUAUGAUGGCAAUGUUGAAAACAUGGAUGACAAGAAUGAGGAGCAGCUGGAUAAAUUUCUUAUUCCAGAAAUUUGCAAUCAAAACUUAACAGCUUUAUUACAGGAAUGAACAUCAUGCACAAGCACCACAUCGACCAGCUACAUGUCCACGUUGAAAUUAUUCAGUUUCAUACGAAGACCAGGACCUCAAGUAUGUGAAAUAGCCCUCCAAAUCCAUAACUUUCUCUAUGUCAAACCGAAACGGUCCACUGUGCUCCAGUCCGUCUACUGGUUCAAAUGGGAAAUCAAUGGUUGUGUACUUCUG